rnacentral:tRNA from 1 species
UGGCUCAGUUGGUAGAGCACGGCGCUUGCAACGCCAGGGUUGUGGGUUCGAUUCCCAC